UGGGGAAUCUUGGACAAUGGGCGCAAGCCUGAUCCAGCCAUGCCGCGUGAGUGAAGAAGGCCUUAGGGUUGUAAAGCUCUUUUGCCAGGGACGAUAAUGACGGUACCUGGAGAAUAAGCCCCGGCAAACUUCGUGCCAGCAGCCGCGGUAAUACGAAGGGGGCUAGCGUUGUUCGGAUUUACUGGGCGUAAAGCGCACGUAGGCGGGUCGUUAAGUCAGGGGUGAAAUCCCGGAGCUCAACUCCGGAACUGCCUUUGAUACUGGCGACCUUGAGGCUGGAAGAGGGUAGUGGAAUUCCCAGUGUAGAGGUGAAAUUCGUAGAUAUUGGGAAGAACACCAGUGGCGAAGGCGGCUAACUGGUCCAGAUCUGACGCUGAGGUGCGAAAGCGUGGGGAGCAAACA
rnacentral:rRNA from 1 species